rnacentral:piRNA from 1 species
UUAAGCUUGGUACUGAAAGACAUGU